UGUGGAAUGCAUUGUUCACAUGUCACCCUUUUCAUCUGGGCCCUGGAUGAUCGAUCAUUCCUUAAACUUUGGUCUGUUCACUCUUUCAUUAGUCUUCCCUCCAAACGAUGGAUAUCAAGUGCCCCCAGUAAAGAUAGUAAAAGGGGUGAAACCAAAUAGUUAUAUUAGACCUUGCUUGGCUAGUCUGUUUUUCAUAACUACUAAACAAUAUCAGACAACAUCAAGAUCCAUUCUAAAUCCAUAUAGGUUUACUCAUAAGCAAUAAUGAAAGCCCUACAAUUUUUACAUUUAUGCUUAAACACUUAUGAAUAUCCAAUCCUUGUGACACUUGGGGAAAAUAUUGUUCCACACAUGCAUUCUUAUCUACCAAGUAAAAAUCAAGUUAAGGGCAAUCAUGGCAGUAAACAUCAAGAUUUUGUUUAUUUUCCUAAAUCAGUUGAAGCUAUAAUUCUCUGCAUCCUGCUAUUACUCUUGAAAGCAGGUCCCUAGUCUUAGAUCUGCAGAGCUGAGCUACCUUCCAAUCCAAGUCUUGACUCUUAGUGCACAGGAUCCUCUUUGGACAUUUCCUUGAGGAACUUAGAUCCACUUCCUAAGAAAGAGAACUGCAGAAGCUAAGAAUACUGUGAUUUGAUCAUUUCCAGACAAUGAUAGAAAAGGCUAGGAAGAGACUCAGUUCUCAGGUUCUUUGAAAAUGUUUCAUGUCCAUGGUUCUUAUCUUGGGUGUUUGUGCCUGCUAUAAGUAAACCCUUAAUCUGUUGAUGUCCUAGAAUUAAAACAAGGCACUCCAUCAUUCAUUCAUACGCUAGGAUUUGUUGAGAGCCACUGUAUGUAUAACAGCAUACCAGAUAGGUCCUAAGGGAUGUAGAGGAGGUACAUGGCGCUCCCCUUGCUUUCCAAGGGUUUACAGUCAGUACCUACAGUGGGUUGGGAAGCCUGCAGCAGGUGAUUUAGCUCAGUGGCUUGGGGAGAAGGGUGGCUGUGUUAUUUAGCGCACAUUUAGUUGUAGGAAGUAGGAUGUGAAGGGGAAAAUAUGCUGUGCAGAUCUCUAAAUACAGCAGAAAGUUGCUGUAUUUAGAUUACUCAGUAAAAAGAAUAAAAAACCCAUCUUUCUUGGUUAAACAUGACUUGUUUGCAGAGAAAGGGCAGGGAGAGGAGCAGGUAGGGAGAAAAGCAUGGCUGUGCUUAUCAGUGAAAAUGUGGAAUAGUCUAGAAGGCUGGAAUUGACUGGAAAGGGAAAAACCCCAAGGUGAAUGACAUCAGAAUGAGCUGAGGAAUAUAAGAAGGCUAAUAUGGUAUGCAAU
rnacentral:lncRNA from 1 species